GGCUUUUUGAGUAUAAUUUAAGGUCGGGCCUGCCCAAUGAUUAAUUAAAUGGCCGCGGUAUAUUGACCGUGCAAAGGUAGCAUAAUCAUUAGUUUUUUAAUUGAAAGCUUGUAUGAAGGGUUUAAUGAAAAAAAUACUGUCUCUAUUUAAAUUUAUUAGAAUUUUAUGUUUAAGUUAAAAAGCUUAAAUUUAUAUUGAAGACGAGAAGACCCUAUAGAGUUUAAUAUUUUAUGUAAUUAUUGAUUAUUAAGAAUUUUAAAGGUUUAUUAUUUAAAGUAUUUAGUUGGGGUGAUUAAAAAAUUAGUUUAACUUUUUUUGUAUUUUUACAUUGAUUAAUGAAUUAAUGAUCAUUUAUUUAAGAUUAAAAGAUAUAAUUACCUUAGGGAUAACAGCGUAAUUUUUUUUAGAGUUCUUAUCGAAAGAAAAGAUUGCGACCUCGAUGUUGGAUUAAAAUAAAUUAUUGGUGUAGAAGCUAAUAGAUUAGGUCUGUUCGACCUUUAAAUUUUUACAUGAUCUGAGUUUAAACCGGUGUAAG
rnacentral:rRNA from 1 species